rnacentral:lncRNA from 1 species
UCUUAUUGGGUUAUGGUACCCAAUAAGAAAAAAUUGAACCAAACCAAUAACCCAAUAAUUUUUUUAUAAAACCAUUAACAAACCAUUAACCCAAUAACCCAAUAAUAAUAAAUCAAUAACAUUUUUAUCGGUUCGGUUUAUCGGUCGGUUCGAUUUUUGCGCAUCCCUACUUUGAAGACUUCCAUGAAAUAGCACCUGCAUCCAAAGUAAACACAAAGCCAUUAGUGGAGUUAAUUCCAUCAUUGUCGGUCACCCAGUUUGCAUCACAAAAAUCUUCUAAAACAACAGAAAAUUUAUUAAAAUGCAAACACCAAUCCAUAGUGCCUCUCAGAUUCCUUAACAAGCGAUGAAGAGCAUUCUAAUGUUCACUAUUAGGAUUAUAAGUAUACCUACUCAAUCUACUAACAUCAUAAGCUAUAUCAGGUCGAGCAUAGUAAUGAGAAACAUUACACUCCUAAUUAUUUUAGUAUAUUCAGUUUGAGAAACACUGAAAUCUUUAUUUUUUUUUAAGUCUAUGUUAGGAUCAUAAGGAGUUCUCACUUACAUCAAAACAAUCAAAUCUUUUCAACAUCUUUUCAAUAUAAUGAGACUAGAACAAAGAGAAAUCAUUAACAAUUCUUUUGAUUUUAAUCCCUAGAAUUACAUCAGGUCUUUCAUUUUAAAUUUAGAAAAUAAAAAUUUCUUAGUCUUAUUUACAACAUUCAUAUUAGGGCCAAAGAUUAACAUGUCAUCCACAUAUAAAUAUAUAAUCACACAAUCUGAUCCUAUCAUUUUAGAGUAAACACCGAUAUCAGAUGAAUUAAACACAAAGUCAUUAUUCAUUAAUGUGAAAUUAAAUUUUUCAUACCACUGCUUAGGUGCCUUCUUAAAUCCAUAUAAGGAUUUUCUCAAUUUACAUACUUUAUCCUCUUGUCCUUGGAUCACAAAAUCCUUAGGUUGAGUCAUAUAGAUCUCUUCCUCUAAAUCAUCAUUUAAAAAUAUUAUUUUGAUAUUCAUUUGGCGUACAACUAAAUUAUGAAUAGUGGCUAUAGCAAUAAUGUCACGACCCAGAAUAGGCUUAUGACCGACGUUAAGGUGUUUAGGACUCCAAAGCAAACCUCGUCAGAAUUCUACAGAAAAUCGAACAGUGUUUCCCCAGUUUUAGGGCCUAACAAAAAAAUUUUCUGUCUUAAAUCCACAACACAACAGCCCAACAUCACAACCAAUACAUCAAAUACCAACACAAUCCAACCAAAAUCACCAACAAUGUACUAAUACCACCAAUAUCAAUAUGAAAUCCAUCUCUAAAAACAAGAGGAAGUCAAAUACUCCACAAAUCCAAAUAAUGAACGAAUACUCAAAACUCUAAAGACAUGACUAUGAAGCAGCUCUAAGAGUUUUCAAGAAGACGAACAUAAAAAUAAAUAAGCUUUGCCCACGCGAACAAAUGCAGGGCUCACCAGGAAUAUGCCACUAGAAUCCUCUAGCUAACAAAAUCCUCACCAUCACCUGCGUUCUCUAUGAUAAUAAUAGCAAGGAGUGAGACGCUAACUCAGUGAGUAAUAACACUUAACCACAACCGUUUUAAUGGGGACAAGUCAUCAAAUAUCAUGAAAUAAGUGCUCUUUCAGAAAAUAGUAACUCACUUGCGUUCUCUGUAAAAAUAAUAGCGAGGAGUGAGACGCUAGCUCAGUAAGUAAUAACACUUAACCACAACUGUUUUAAUGAGGAAAAGUCAUAAAACAUCAUGAAAUAAAUGCUCUUUCUGAAAAUAAUAAUAAUAAACAGUAUACUUUGUUUCAUGUAAGCAAAGUGAAUCAAUAGUUCAGUAAUAAACUCAAAAAGCAUCGUAUCAUAUCAAAUAUUACAUAUUUGGAAGGUUUUCAAGAAUGAAUCAUGUAAUCAAUAUGGCAUUCUUCACCAAGAAUAGCCUAUAAUAGUGAACCCCUCAUAAAGGAGUCAAAUAUCAUAUCAGUAAAAAUAUGCUAGUUCUACCUUCCCACUAGCGAGGGUUGUAACAGUCAUCAGUAAAUACAAGGUGCACAAGGUCUAACGAUCCCGCCGUUAGCUACGGAAUUCAAAUCAAGGUCUACUCCAUUUAUAAAUUCUUUGUAAACAAUAUGAUAUUCAUAUGAAAGCAUUUUUCAGAAUAGUACAUAUUAUUUAAAGUUCAUAUCAAAUCAUGUUACAUGUAAACUUGAAUAAAAACACAUGUCAAAAUACAUAUUUCUCAUGUAAGUGAAGAAUAUUCAUAAUAAUAAUAUCAUAUAUCAAAUAACAAUUUCAAUAUCAUAUCAAGUAAAGGACUUGCCCCACGUGCAACUUCAACGCAUUUUGUAACUCAUUGUUUCAUCAAAAAUAUGUAUAAAUAUGCAAUUUAACAAACACAAAUUGUGGAAAGAUUACUACUCACAGUACACGUGUCAAAAUACCAAACUUGUCACCCCGAACGAUUCGUAUCACUUUCUUCGAUCAAAUCUAUAGUCACGUUAUAUCAAUAUCGCGUUAAUUCUCUUAUUUAGGCUAACUUCAUGAUGAAAUUAGAUAACCCAACCCUCAAGGUUUCAUGAUAACUUUUAAUUUAUCAAACUUUGUAUUCAAAACAAUAUCUUAUUACCCAAAAUUCUUGUCUUUAGCAACUAAAUUUCAAUACCCAAAAUAAAUUAUCAAGAUUAAAAAUCACAGUAAAGAUGUAGGAACGAAUUUACCUUAAACUCGAAAGAAUUUUCCAAUCAAACCCUUAAGCUUUUCCUUUUUUUCACUAAACAACAGACUUGAUUGUUUUUUGUUUUCUUCUUCGUACGUAAUUGGGCAGAACUGCUACUGCCUAGUUACUCCCUUUGAAUUUCUUCCUUGCACGUUAAUGGGCAAACAAGCCAUUUUUUUCUUUUGGUUGGAAGUGUCUUACGCAGCAAAU